rnacentral:sRNA from 1 species
AUGGCUGUCGUCAGCUCGUGUCGUGAGAUGUUGGGUUAAGUCCCGCAACGAGCGCAACCCUUGUCCUAUGUUGCCAGCGGGUAAUGCCGGGGACUCGUAGGAGACUGCCGGGGUCAACUCGGAGGAAGGUGGGGAUGACGUCAAGUCAUCAUGCCCCUUACGUCCAGGGCUGCACACAUGCUACAAUGGCCGGUACAAAGGGCUGCUAUCCCGCGAGGGUGAGCGAAUCCCAAAAAGCCGGUCUCAGUUCGGAUCGUAGUCUGCAACUCGACUACGUGAAGUCGGAGUCGCUAGUAAUCCCGGAUCAGCAACGCCGGGGUGAAUACGUUCCCGGGCCUUGUACACACCGCCCGUCACACCACGAAAGUCGGUAACACCCGAAGCCAGUGGCCCAACCGCAAGGAGGGAGCUGUCGAAGGUGGGAUUGGUGAUUGGGGUGAAGUCGUAACAAGGUAGCCGUACCGGAAGGUGCGGCUGGAUCACCUCCUUUCUAAGGAGUACCCGCUCAGACAUGUUGUCUUUUUCUAGACACCUUGUCUGAGAACUCCCAGUUGAUCACUAGCCAGUUGGCAUCCUGUCCGUCAGGUCAUGGUCGAAGAUUUCGGUCUCCCAUGGCACGCCGGCGAGAUGCCUAAGCAAUCCUCUGUUCCGUUUUCUGGGGGCGCCGCAGCGCGGCGUCCCCGGCGUGUCGUGGGCCCUUUGUGUGCCCGGCGCCCCUUGAGAACUCCAUAGCGAGCACGAGCAUCUUUGUUUACCAGGCUACAAAGAGCCAACGGUGGAUGCCUUGGCGCCUGAAGCCGAUGAAGGACGUGGGUGGCUGCGAAAAGCCACGGGGAGCUGCCUACCAAGCUUUGAUCCGUGGAUAUCCGAAUGGGGAAACCCGG